rnacentral:rRNA from 1 species
GCUUGUCUCAAAGAUUAAGCCAUGCAUGUCUAAGUAUAAACUGCUUAUACUGUGAAACUGCGAAUGGCUCAUUAAAUCAGUUAUAGUUUAUUUGAUGGUACCUCUACUCGGAUAACCGUAGUAAUUCUAGAGCUAAUACGUGCGCAAAUCCCGACUUCUGGAAGGGACGUAUUUAUUAGAUAAAAGGCCAGCCGGGCUCUGCCCGACCUGCGGUGAAUCAUGAUAACUUCACGAAUCGCAUGGCCUCGCGCCGGCGAUAUUUCAUUCAAAUUUCUGCCCUAUCAAUUGGCGAUGGUAGGAUAGAGGCCUACCAUGGUGUUAACGGGUGACGGGGGAUUAGGGUUCGAUUCCGGAGAGGCAGCCUGAGAAACGGCUACCACAUCCAAGGAAGGCAGCAGG